rnacentral:rRNA from 1 species
AAAUGGCAUCCCUAGUACGGCGAGUGAACCGGGAAGAGCUCAAAUUUGAAAUCUGGCGUCCUCAGGGCGUCCGAGUUGUAAUCUAUAGAGGCGUUUUCCGUGCCGGACCGKGUCCAAGUUCCUUGGAACAGGAUAUCAAAGAGGGUGACAAUCCCGUACUUGACACGACSACCGGUGCUCUGUGAUACGUCUUCUACGAGUCGAGUUGUUUGGGAAUGCAGCUCAAAAUGGGUGGUGAGUUCCAUCUAAAGCUAAAUAUUGGCGAGAGACCGAUAGCGAACAAGUACCGUGAGGGAAAGAUGAAAAGCACUUUGGAAAGAGAGUUAAACAGUACGUGAAAUUGUUGAAAGGGAAACGAUUGAAGUCAGUCGUGACCGAGAGGCUCAGCCGGUUCUGCCGGUGUAUUCCCCUCGGUCGGGUCAACAUCAGUUUUGUCCGGUGGAUAAGGGCGGUAGGAAGGUGGCACCCUCGGGUGUGUUAUAGCCUGCCGUCGCAUACAUCGGGUGAGACUGAGGAACGCAGCUCGCCUUUAUGGCCGGGGUUCGCCCACGUCCGAGCUUAGGAUGUUGACAUAAUGGCUUUAAACGACCCGUCUUGAAACACGGGACCCAAAA